rnacentral:tRNA from 1 species
GCCGCGGUGGUGGAACUGGUAGACGCACUGGACUCAAAAUCCAGCGCCCGCAAGGGCAUGAGAGUUCGAGUCUCUCCCGCGGCACCA